rnacentral:lncRNA from 1 species
AUGCACCUCGUUGUGCAAGACAGUCUUGCAAAGGCACACUGGCAAAAGUUAAAGCCCUGGAGUAUGUGCUGCAGACACCACAAGAUGACACAAACCUUUUCCACUGCCACCAAGCAUGUUUUGGGUGAGAACAGGCCGUUUUACUCCCUGCUCACCCUGGCAGGGCAGGUGGGAGCAAAUGCAUGGAGUGGAGGAGCUGGGGCCUGCUGCCAACGGGGGGAGACCACUGGGGCUGUGGAGGUCCUGAGCUCAGCCAUGGAAGGUGGGGAGGGAGAAGGAGCAGCCAUCAGGAGAGCUUGGUGCUUUCAGCCUCCUGGCCUCACGCUCAGAGGACCACCAUCAUCUACUCCUCCUGACCUCUCCAGGCAGCCUACCAUGGCCCACACCAUGGUGGCAGAGCUCAGCAGGACACAGCCUCCAGAACAGCAUAUCAGAAUGGCGGAAGAUGAACAAUAUGUCUAAAGCAUCUGUUAGUGCUCCGGUAUCGCUCUUUGACACGUUCAUUAGUAUAAAUGUAACCUUGGCAUUGUCAGAGGUGGAUGCUAUCAGGGAUAGUCACUCAAGGUAAUGGUAUCCCUAACGAUCUGGCAGUCAAACGUGAAAUCUCAGCGGAAACCCUCACAGGCAAGAACAAAAGUAACAAAACAAACAAGUCAACUGUUGAAAUAUGAGAAAUUUCUCCAGUUUUCCCCUUUUUGAAAGUUUAUAAAAAAUCCACUGUAGUAUAAGCAUUUUUUGUACUGUAAAGGGGUUGCAUGGAUUACUGAAGGGAGAUUUUUUAAUUAAAAAUAAAAUGUCAAAGUGUCAAAAAGCA